rnacentral:tRNA from 1 species
GGUUCUAUGGUGUAAUGGUAAGGACUCUGAAUCCAGCGAUCCUAGUUCAAAUCUCGGUAGAACCU